UGGUGCCUCCCCCGAACUAUUGGAAAGGGUACUAGUUCACGGAGGGAGCCAAACCCAGUAAUUCAGAACUGGGGAUCAUUUCCACCUUUCAGAAGGACCGCCGUUUUCCAGAACUUGUCCUGGACAUGGUAGUGCGGUUAACGGAGAAACAGCAAAACAGAGUUCCACCCGAGCAGCUGGAAGCUUGGUGUGUAACCAAGAUAAACGAGAAGGACCCCACAUCGCCCCAGCCUCUUUUAACGAGCAUCGAAAUACACCGUGCCGUCCGCUAUCGACAGGAAGUCGCCGUUCGCGUCCGAAUCAGAGAAGCGUUUGGGCUGAAAGGGUCCCGUGCCUUCUCAGAGUGAGACACACACCCCCAGGAACCAGGUCAGGCCAAAUCCUGGUCUUUGCUUGUUUACUUUCUGCUUGGUGUCAUUGCACCCCAUAAGGAGCGAGGAGCCCGUGAUUUUCCUCCAUUCACCAGCCCGGCCCACUGGAUAAGCGCGUUCGCUCCCUCACUUCAAACCCUGGCAUUUCAUGUGAACACAAGGCAAAGGAACUUGGCUGCCAUCCGUUCAGAAAUGUUCUCACAAGACCAACCCUCCCUUCUUCUUUUUUUAAAAAUCCUUUUGCAAAAUAAGCAGUUACGAGACCAGCUUUCUAAAACGCAUUGCACAGUGUCUACUAUUUACGAUCCUCUCGAAACAUCUGAACAUCUGUUGUGCGCAGAAACAUUAACUGCUGAGGAACUGCUUCCCACGAUGAAGGGAAGUCAAGACAGUUCAGCAGUUGCCCGUAGCAGCUUGAAGCUCAAGACGGAUGCUCAGAAGUAUCUCUGUGUGCAUUUCAGUGCCCCCAAGAGCCCUCCUAUCAGCCAAGGCUCUCCUCAGUUCUCCUCAAAAGGUCCUGCAUCUCCCCGUCUUGAUGCCUGCACGGUUUUGCUGGUCCAGCUGUACGGCCUGGACGCCGUUUACAUCCCGGAUCCCAUUAGGCGGAGGCCCGGCAAAGUGGCGCCACCUGCUGUCCAGGCCUUGGAGCUGAAUGUGCAGUCACAACGGGGAUGGAGGGCUCUCCCGCUCUUUGACAGGUAUGCCAUCCCCGGAGAUGUCAGAGCAUAUAUUUGACCACAAUUUGAACUAAAUGAGAGCCAUUGGCUGAAUGGGUCACCGCUGGAGAAGGCCCACUGAAUCAGUGGGGACGUGAAGCUAUGUGAGAAGUGGGGUGCAUCGUGCCCCAUUGUUUCGGGGGGUGCCAACAGCCGAAUUUCUGCAGAGGCUGGCGGCCCAUCUCGUGAAAGAUGUCCUGGCGGGAGGUUUGAAAAGCAAGAGGCUCCAGCUUCUGAAGGGGGCCUACGUUAGCCUCGCUGUGGGGAUCUGGGACGGCCACUACUUUGAUGACGAAUAACCCGAGUUGCCGGUGAUACAUGACCUUCUCACCAUUGACAAGACCAAGAAAUUUUUGGCAACCCAGACCCGCAAAAAGGGACCGGAUAUGUCGCAACUUGUUCUGAAAACUCUAGAUUAAAAAAUCGAUGAAACUGGGUCGCAAUAGCCUGGAAUAUCAGCACCAGGAACGUCUGUACAAGGAAGCGAUGGAGAAGAACGCCUUUUACAACGUGGUGAUCAGUGAGAGAAAUAACAUCCGCUUGGAAUACACUGUUCUUCUUCUUCAUCAUCAUCAUCCAGAUCCCUGCAAUUUGUGGAACUGUUCUCUGUGCAAAACUAGUAGGCUUCUCCUUUGAGGAGCCAUGUAUAGUAGGCGCUUGCACAUGAACACACACACACACACACACACACACACACACACGAGUGAGCACUGAACAAUGGGCCCAUUGUCAGGAAAGGUACAGAUAACUCCCCUCUCUGUGCUACAUAGUCACUAGCCAUCAUAAGUUUGUGUAAUGUCCGUGGAUUGCUUUAAGAUGUUGUUUGCAGCCUUUUUGCAACUUGGGAUGCCUUACCUGUGGGGUCAGCCUCUGCAGAUUCACUUACCUUCUUCCUGAAAAUAUUAAAUUAAAAAAAAAACCCAGAAAUAUGUAUUUAGAUGCAUUUCCAUGUUGUAUCUACAAGGACUGGCCACUAGAGGGAGAUUUUUAGCCUCCACAGGAGGCUACCAUCUUUAGGGCCCUACCGUAUUUAUUUGCACAGUCCUGCUUAGUGUGCUUUUUGGUUUGUUUGUUUUUUUUAAAAGCUGCUGCUGCUUUCUUACCGUUGAGAGAGCCGCACUACACCUCACCCACAGACAGGACGAGUCAAACAGUUUUGCAGUUCCUCAUCCUUGCGCUUGAAAAGACAGAAAACAGCGCUACUGAAUGCAGGAUAUGGCCCAUUAUGAAUCUUUCUUCUUCUUGAACGCUAUCAAUGAAAGAAAGAAGAAGAUGGGAUCAUGCAUUUUUAAAGACUCUGCCUUGCAGCCAAGAUGUAUAUGACAGCACUGCUAAUCUGGAGGCGUUAGACGGAAGGAGGAUUUCUGAAUCUGUAAACACAAGAUCCUGAGUACCCUAUGGGGAGAAAGACAGCAUAUAAAUAGUAUAAAUAAUAUAAAUAAAUAAGUAAGUAAGUAAGUACUGGUGGCCUCAGAGCCCAUUCCCAAAUAGCCAAGACAACCGACAGCCCAUUGAACGGACCCUUGGCUGGCUGAUACUGUGCUGAAUCCGGACCCCUCUCAUCCCACAGAUGUUGGAAAUGCCUCCGGUUUACUGCCACCGUGCCCUGAGGUUGGGCCAACGUUGCAGCCCCGUCUCUGGGCUGGCAGAUCCAGCCUAAUUUGGCUCCUUCCUUGGCCCUCCCCUUCCUUCCAGCUCCUGUGCCAGCAGAUCUCUGCCCCCCCCCAGAUGGCUCUCCUGCUGGCAGACGUCUGUGAUCAAGUGGCAGAAGAGGCUGGAUGCCCCCUCUUCUUAACCGUCUACAGCUGGCACAUCUUGGUGCUGGGAUUACGCUGUUAAUCUGCAGGACGGUCUUACAAGACUGGAUAUGAUGGGGGAGGUCACAUCUGUGUUUCAAGAAAUGCAAGAUAUGAUGGCCCCGACUUUUUAGAUAAUCACCAUUGUCCCUGAAGACUUUUGAGCAGGUGAUUCUAUGUUUUGCCCCCCAUCCCACCCCGUAAAGUGUGU